ANNCCGGGCCGCCACCGGGGUNGAGUNAACGCGUGGGAAUUUACCUUUCGGCGGGGGACAACAGUUGGAAACGACUGCUAAUACCGCAUACGCCCUACGGGGGAAAGAUUUAUCACCGAAAGAUAGGCCCGCGUUAGAUUAGGUAGUUGGUAGGGUCAAAGCCUACCAAGCCGACGAUCUAUAGCUGGUUUGAGAGAACGAUCAGCCACACUGGAACUGAGACACGGUCCAGACUCCUACGGGAGGCAGCAGUGGGGAAUCUUGCACAAUGGGCGAAAGCCUGAUGCAGCCAUGCCGCGUGAGUGAGAAGGCCUUCGGGUUGUAAAACUCUUUUAGAUGUGAAGAUGAUGACGGUAACAUCAGAAAAAGCACCGGCUAACUUCGUGCCAGCAGCCGCGGUAAUACGAAGGGUGCUAGCGUUGUUCGGAAUUGCUGGGCGUAAAGAGCGUGUAGGCGGCUUAGCAAGUUAGAGGUGAAAUCCCAGGGCUCAACCCUGGAACUGCCUUUGAUACUGCUAAGCUUGAGAUCGUGAGGGGAUAGCGGAAUACCCAGUGU
rnacentral:rRNA from 1 species